rnacentral:rRNA from 1 species
CCUACGGGCGGCAGCAGUGGGGAAUAUUGGACAAUGGGCGAAAGCCUGAUCCAGCCAUGCCGCGUGUGUGAAGAAGGCCUUCGGGUUGUAAAGCACUUUCAGUGGGGAAGAAAGCCUUGGGGCUAAUACCCUCGAGGAAGGACAUCACCCACAGAAGAAGCACCGGCUAACUCCGUGCCAGCAGCCGCGGUAAUACGGAGGGUGCGAGCGUUAAUCGGAAUUACUGGGCGUAAAGCGCGCGUAGGCGGUCUGAUAAGCCGGUUGUGAAAGCCCCGGGCUCAACCUGGGAACGACAUCCGGAACUGUCAGGCUAGAGUGCAGGAGAGGAAGGUAGAAUUCCCGGUGUAGCGGUGAAAUGCGUAGAGAUCGGGAGGAAUACCAGCGGCGAAGGCGGCCUUCUGGACUGACACUGACGCUGAGGUGCGAAAGCGUGGGUAGCAAACAGGAUUAGAUACCCCGGUAGUC